rnacentral:other from 1 species
UUCCCUGCGUAGUUCGUGUAGACUGAAUUUUUAGAACCUACAAGUAAUGGAUAAGGGAGCUCUGAUUCGAAUAUGGCGUGUAUGCUUGCAUUUAUGUAAGAAACCCAUAAGUAUUUGAGAUGGCACCCACCUGUGUGAGCACAGGUCCAUAAAAAUUCUUUUAACUUACGGCUUGAACGUGGGGG